CUUCAGCAGCAGAUAUACUAAAAUUGAAAUGAUACAAAGAAGAUUAAUAUGGCCCCUGCACAAAGAUUACAUGCAAAUUUGUGAAAUGUUCCAUAUUUUU
ensembl:snRNA U6 U6 spliceosomal RNA